GGAGGAGCCUCUGGAGAGAUCCGUUAAAUCGGACGCCGAAGGAGCAAACCUACAUCGCUACGCGUGAUGCAGGUGAAACUCUCAGGCAAAAGGACAGAGGAGAUAAG
rnacentral:ncRNA from 2 species